rfam:Helobdella robusta unplaced genomic scaffold HELROscaffold_24, whole genome shotgun sequence.
CAAACGGCUCUUCUCAGAGCCAUCAAUGAAACGAUGAUAUCGAGC